ensembl:snRNA U1 U1 spliceosomal RNA
AUACUUAUCUGGCAGGGAGAUACCAUGAUCAGGAAGGUGGUUUUCCUAGGGUGAGGCUUACCCAUUGCACUCUGGAUGUGCUGGCCUUUGGCAAUUUCCCCAAAUGUGGGAAACUCAACUGCAUAAUUCGUGGAAGUGGGCAGCUGUGUGCUCUCCCCU